rnacentral:lncRNA from 1 species
GCACAAACAACAAGUGAAGAGGAGCUAAUUGAGAGAAGACGAGAUUGAAGCGGCUGCCAAAAUCUCUCAUUCUCCUCCUAUUUUCUUGUACAAAUCGCUCACACUAGUCACCAUUUCUUAGUCGUCCAUGCCUACCGAUGACCUCUCAUAGCUAGAGGUAGUGAAUCUCAUCCAAUUUUUGCCUUAAUUGUGAUGAAGACUGCACUAUAUACAGUUAGUUUAUUUAUUUAUUUAUUUAUUAUUAUUAUUAUUAUUAUUAUUAUUUUUUUUUUUUUUUUUUUUUUAGCAUUUUACUCAGUAACUGUUCUUUCUCUCAUUUUUCACAUAAGAUUUUCGUUAUUUCACAUGGGUUCCAUUGUUAUGUGUUCCAUUUUUCAAAUCUUACAUCUCCAGUAGGUUGUAAUGUUGUUAUUGCUCAUUCUAUUUUUCAAUUUUUAGAUGUAAUAAUGCAAUUUUUUAUUCCAUUGCUCAAAUUUACUACUGGAAGAUCAGAUGUAGUACCAAAAAUGGAAAUGACAAAUAAAAAUAAAUAAUUUAUAGUUGAAUCAAAGAAUGAUUUGUUCAACAGUUCACAAUCCUUAAACUUCAAACAAGUCAUUAGUUGACAUAUUGAUCACAAACCUUCACACAUCAUGUUCUCACGGUUGUAAUUUGCUUGAAUCUUCUCUUCAGUUUCUGUGUCAAGCCAUUUGACUAUUGAGAUCGAGCUCCUACUUGACUCAGAAAUACUCUUUUGAUACUUGGCUUCCAAAUGGGAGCGGGAGUUCUCCAUUUCCCUCUCAGCUUCUUCUUUAGAUUAUCUCAAUCUUUUCAUUUUCAGGUUUUUAGUAGUAGAUAUUGUUGGGUUUUUGAUACUCAAUAAUCCGGGCGAUGAUUUAAAACAAUUGUCGGAUUAUUUAUCGAUACGGCGAUACCAUGGACUUGGCUCGGCUUGGAGAUGAACUACACUUUUGGAUGGCUCGGGUUUGGGUUGGAUUAUUAUUUGGUUAGUUGGACUAUUUAGAGAUUAAUAUGGAGUUGAAUAUUGGCCCAUUAGUUUGGGUUAAUUGGUAGCCCUCUUAGUGAACCCUAGGCCCAAUUGGAGUGACCUAAACUAACCUAUAUAUACGUAUUUAUCUCCUAGCCAUUUUUGGUGUGUGUGUUGUAGCAAUGGAGAGGAGAGUUGAGAGAAGAGAGGUAGUCGAGAGAGAAGGAAGCCAUGUGAGGUUGUGAGUGAGAUUCAACCAUUGUGAUAUAUUUUUCUUCCUCUUCAUACCUUUGUAGAUUGCUAACACCACCACCACCCUUCUCUUUUGUGGGGUUUGAGAGAGUUUGGACAGUCCAAAGUGAAGGCGAAAGUCUCGGGUCGAGUCAAGGUAAAUCGGUGUUCGUUUGAUUGUUUUCUGAGUCUGAAAUCAAGAUUUAUCGAGAGAUUUUCGCUACAGUUACAAUUUGUUGAGCCUCCUGCUCCGCACUCAGUAGCAUCUGAAUAACUUAUUGUCCUCUCGUUGAAUCCAUUUCAGCUAUUUGAUGGAAAUUCGCAGAGAUAGAAAUGGUAUUUUUUUUAAGAAAACGUGAGAGAAUAGAAAAGGCAAUUCCAUGCAAUGUAUUUAUAACGCAAUUAUAAUAAUAAAAAGAAAUGCAAAUGCAAAAAUCUUACGGUGUUAAUUCAACUGAAUAUUUUCCUAGCAAUUAUUGAACGCAAAUGUUGCCUGAAACACAAAGAAACAGAGAGACAUAUCCUUUUUUUCCCCCCCUUUUUUUAGUUUCCAAAACACACAGAAGAGCUAGAGCUAUAAAUUCUAGGAUUAUACUCAAUCAAAGCUAAUCAAAUCUUUCUCAUUGUGCGUGAAAAGUUAUGUGUAAUUAAUUAAGGAUUAUGUUAUCUUGUCGCAGAGUGAUAGUGUAAAAUUCGUUUCAAAUAUUUUAGCAUGAAUAUAUGAACAAAAUUAAGAACAGUGAGUUUCAAUGAUUUUAUUUUAGGAUUAUGAAAUAAUAUGCAAUAGUUUAAAUAAAUUAAAAAUACUACCAAUAAAUAGAUUUUUCAACACAUCAAAGUUGAUAGGAGUUUUUAAAGAAAAUUCAUGAAAAAGAAUUUAAAGAAUUUUAAUAAAAGUUGAUGACAUGCAUGUCUUAAAAGUUUGAUUAAAGUUAUGAGUUUAUGAAAUAUGUGAUCAAAUUAAAAUUUAACAAGCUCAAAAUUGAAAAAUUAACCUAGUUUAUUAAACAAGCAUGAAGCAUGUAAUUUUUCAAUGUUUGAUACAUAAUUAUAUUCCUCAGUUGGAAUGUCUAGAGUCGACUUUGCUCCUACCUUACUCAUUCUCUAUUUUCUCUCAAACACUUUUUGCAUGAUAUGCCUCUAGAAAUGAUAUGAGGGUUUAAUUUAUCAUCCUUGAUCCUAAUCUUGGUAGAGGAUGCUAGUAUUACUUUAAAAUUUUUCAUACUUCUCGUCCUUUGCUAUCACAUUCGAUGAUCUAUUCUUCAUAGGCUAAAAUGCUAUAUAAAAGGAGAGAAAAUGAUAACAAUUUACAUCCGUGUUUUAUUACAUGGUAUUCAAAUGUUUCUAACUCAAAAUUUUUUGAAUAUUGCGGUGUUAGUGUUGGAUAGUAACUUUGCCUAUAAUGGACAAAGAGUGGCUGCACUUAUCAAGGUUAUGACAUGAAAUUAGAUGUUAUAAAUCUAGUUACCAAAUGAAAAUAAUUCAAUUUAUAAUGAUCAUAAAUCAAAUGGAGCAAAAAUUUUUACUGAAUGAAGCUUUUCCAUGCUAUGGCUCAAAAGGGUUAUCUACUUGUGUCUUAUGAAAUAAUAUAUCUUAGGAACAUAUCUUGUCUUUUUACUUGAAUAGUACAACUUCAAUAUAUGUAAUUACUAAAUUUGUAUUGCAGAGAAAAAAGAAUCCAGAUUUAAAAGGAUUAAGAACAAGAGUAUGGACUCAUGGAUAUCUUAGGAAAGACGGAAAACCAAUAAAUGAAGUAGUUGCCGAUACUUUGGCAUGUGUAUUAUAUCAAUGUUCAAUGAAGCAUAAUUUGAUUUAUUAGUUGUAUCACUAAUAAAAUUAGAGUUCCAUAAGUGCAAAGAAAGAUUGAAGAUUGUGUCAUAUCAAUUUAUGAUACACCUGUCGAAGUUUCCAUCCGCGAUGAUGCUGUCACUCGAGUUUUAGGUCCUGAACGUCAUGGAACAGUUAAGGAACAUGGAUUUGGAGUUACACCAUCAAAAGCAGAUGGACAAAUACAAAGUAGUGGGGAGUUAGAGACCUUGAAAAUCAAUUACAGUCUUAGGCACAAAGGGUGAGACACUGGAAGAAAAAAUGGGAACAUCUCAAGUUAUCUCAAUAGGUUAUAAGUAGUUACCUUUUAAUAUAUACUAUGAUAAUAUAGCUUAAUAUAACCAAUUACAUGAUGAAAAACUUUUGUAAUUUUUGUAUCAUUCUAUAGAAUGUAGAGGACAAGAAUUCAAAUGUUUCUACUCCUCAAGUUUUUAAAUGUUUAUUCAAUAUAUAUUCAGUUUGUAGCAUUCUAAUUUUAAAAAGAAUAUUUUUACUAUGAAUUUGUAGUCACACCAAAGAAGUGGUGUCCAAGGAAGUAUUGCACCUAUGACAAAUGCAAAAUGUCAACUAUUACAUUGAUACUUGUUUGAGGAGGAGAAGUUGUAGUAGAAGUGAAGAUUGCAACAACAGACCCAAGUGUAAAGGUGCAUUACUUGCCACUUAGUCGAGACUGUUGGAAAGUUUGGGUUGAGGAAGUGUAGAUUGGUAAUUUGACCUUAUACAGACCUACAGAUAAAUUCCGAACUCUUAGUGAAGCUAAGGUAUGUUUUAUGGAUUUAUUACAUAUACACGUGAAUCUAUUUCCAUUUCAUUUCCAUCCCAAACAGUAUUUAGUGUUAAUCGGUUGGUACAUAUGAAGUGGUUUCAUGUUUUUUGCUUAUUCAGGUGUUAUGAAAUUGACUUUAUUGCAAAUGAGCACAGAAUGGACCAAUGAAUGAUGAUGACAACGAUGAUGAUGAUGAUAAUAGAAGUUCUUAGAUUUUACAAUAUGGUUUCUAAUAGGAAUUUCAAUGUCAUUGGUUGGUUAGCUAGUGAGAUUUUGGUAGUGAGGAUUAUAGGUUACUUCGCUGAACUCUUAGGUUUUCUUCAAUAAUUUUUUUUUGCUAUUGAAUUGUCGAAACAUGAUUCUAAUGUGUGAGCAACAUCUAUUAUCGAUUUGAUGUUUGGUUCUUUUUCAGUAAAUUGUAGUUUAGUGUAUUAUCUUUUUUCAUCUGAGUAGUUUUUGGAGAAGUUUUUGAAGAAUAUAUAAAUGUUCUAUGAAUAAUUUAUGGCGUCUGUAGGGACAUGGAACUGCUAUGUUUUGAUGCUCUCAUGGGGAUGUAUUUUAUUGGUUUCAUUGUAGAAACAUCUUGAGCGUCUCUAUACCUUUUGUAUUUUAUACUUUUGAAGAAUACUAAAUUUUACUGUUGUUUCUUCACAUAAUGAAUAUUCCAUUAAUGUUGGUGUUUGGUAUUUUCCGUUUUGUGUGUUGCAGGAGUAAAAAGAAGUUGUGCUAAACAAAUGAAUAGCACAUAAGCCUUUGUGAUUGUCUUGCAUUUCUCAUAAUUAAGUAUGUCAUAAAAGGGUUUCAUGGUACAAAAUUUGAUGGCAGUACCUCUACAUAACCCUAUCCCUAUAAAUGAAAAGGGGAAGUUUUUCUAUUUGAAAGUUUAUUUGCUAUUUAGUGGCUAUUGUCUAAAAACUUCCCUACGAGACUCGUUGAUUUCACAGGCCAAUCCUUAUCCAAUAACAGGUUCCUCUUUAAAGUCUCAAUUGAUGCAAGGCUCUAGUGGAAGUACAGCUUUGUCGUUGGACAGAAAUUGUUCUAGUGGCAAUGGUAUUGACCAAGGAACAUCCGACAUUUUCGAGUUUAAGUUUCAUAAUUUGUAGUUUCCUAAUUAUAUUUUGAUGGUACUUGCUUUGUGGUCUCCUAAUUAUUUCGGUGGUACAUGUUUCGUGGUCUUCUAAUGGACUGAAUCAACGUUCACAAAAAGAAAUUU